UACGUAGGCAGCAAGCGUUGUUCGGAAUUACUGGGCGUAAAGAGUGUGUAGGCGGUGUUCUAAGUCUGUUGUGAAAUCUCCCGGCUUAACUGGGAGGGUGCGGCGGAAACUGGAAUGCUAGAGGAUGGGAGUGGUAAGCGGAAUUCCUGGUGUAGCGGUGAAAUGCGUAGAUAUCAGGAGGAACACCUGUGGUGUAGACAGCUUACUGGACCAUUUCUGACGCUGAGACACGAAAGCGUGGGUAGCAAACAGG
rnacentral:rRNA from 1 species